CCUACGGGAGGCAGCAGUGGGGAAUCUUGCGCAAUGGGCGAAAGCCUGACGCAGCCAUGCCGCGUGGAUGAUGAAGGUCUUAGGAUUGUAAAAUCCUUUCACCGGUGAAGAUAAUGACUGUAGCCGGAGAAGAAGCCCCGGCUAACUUCGUGCCAGCAGCCGCGGUAAUACGAAGGGGGCUAGCGUUGCUCGGAAUUACUGGGCGUAAAGGGAGCGUAGGCGGACAUUUAAGUCAGAGGUGAAAUCCCGGAGCUUAACUUCGGAACUGCCUUUGAUACUGGGUGUCUUGAGUGUGAGAGAGGUAUGUGGAACUCCGAGUGUAGAGGUGAAAUUCGUAGAUAUUCGGAAGAACACCAGCGGCGAAGGCGACAUACUGGCUCAUUACUGACGCUGAGGCUCGAAAGCGUGGGGAGCAAACAGGAUUAGAUACCCUGGUAGUCCACGCCGUAAACGAUGAUUGCUAGUUGUCGGGAAGCUUGCUUCUCGGUGACGCAGCUAACGCAUUAAGCAAUCCGCCUGGGGAGUACGGUCGCAAGAUUAAAACUCAAAGGAAUUGACGG
rnacentral:rRNA from 1 species